CGUAGGCUCCAAGCGUUGUCCGGAUUUAUUGGGCGUAAAGAGCUCGUAGGCGGUUGAGUAAGUCGGGUGUGAAAACUCUGGGCUUAACCCGGAGACGCCAUCCGAUACUGCUCUGACUAGAGUUCUGGAGGGGAGUGGGGAAUUCCUAGUGUAGCGGUGAAAUGCGCAGAUAUUAGGAGGAACACCGGUGGCGAAGGCGCCACUCUGGACUGAAACUGACGCUGAGGAGCGAAGGCAGGGGUAGCAAACAGGAUGAGAUACCCUGGUAGUCCAUGCCGUAAACGGUGGGCACUAGGUGUGGGUUCCAACUAACGGGAUCCGCGCCGUCGCUAACGCAUUAAGUGCCCCGCCUGGGGAGUACGGUCGCAAGACUA
rnacentral:rRNA from 1 species